UACGUAGGGUGCGAGCGUUUGUCCGGAAUUAUUGGGCGUAAAGAGCUCGUAGGCGGUUUGUCGCGUCGGCCGUGAAAACUUGGGGCUUAACCCCAAGCUUGCGGUCGAUACGGGCAGACUUGAGUUCGGCAGGGGAGACUGGAAUUCCUGGUGUAGCGGUGAAAUGCGCAGAUAUCAGGAGGAACACCGGUGGCGAAGGCGGCAUCCUGGACCGAGAUUGACGCUGAGGCGCGAAAGCUAGGGGAGCAAACGGG
rnacentral:rRNA from 1 species